CCCCUGACUCCUUCAGGAGACGGGCACAUUUUCAGUGGCUUGACAGUGUCGCUACAUGGAGCAGGUUUUCUGAGUCCUACAGAAAAUAAUUCUACACCAUGUACACCGUGGACACCUGUCGUGAAUGUGGAAUGCUUUUCAAAAACUGCACACCUGGAUAUGUUGGAACAGGACAAAGUGAAGCAGUUUACUCCGAAGACCCACAUCCAGGUUAUUGCGAUCACUUUUGCCGCCAAAUGCAAUAGGUAAAAAUAAGGUGUUUGUGUGUAACAAAGGGGUGUGGGGGAAAAAGAUAAUUGAAUAUGUAUUUGCUACAUUUAUUUACUCAUUUUCUUUUUCAGUGAAA